UGAUUGAAUUGUGGAAAUAUU
ensembl:piRNA 21ur-11588 ncRNA